GGUGGCUCAGUGGUAGAGUGCUUGCCUCGCAUACAAGAGGCCCUGGGUUUGAUCUCAGCACCA
rnacentral:tRNA from 1 species